AGUGAACGCUGGCGGUAGGCCUAACACAUGCAAGUCGAACGGCAGCACAGGAGAGCUUGCUCUCUGGGUGGCGAGUGGCGGACGGGUGAGGAAUACAUCGGAAUCUGCCCAGUCGUGGGGGAUAACGUAGGGAAACUUACGCUAAUACCGCAUACGACCUUCGGGUGAAAGAGGGGGAUCGCAAGACCUCUCGCGAUUGGAUGAGCCGAUGUCGGAUUAGCUAGUUGGCGGGGUAAUGGCCCACCAAGGCGACGAUCCGAAGCUGGUCUGAGAGGAUGAUCAGCCACACUGGAACUGAGACACGGUCCAGACUCCUACGGGAGGCAGCAGUGGGGAAUAUUGGACAAUGGGCGCAAGCCUGAUCCAGCCACACCGCGUGGGUGAAGAAGGCCUUCGGGUUGUAAAGCCCUUUUGUUGGGAAAGAAAUCUUUCAGGCUAAUACCCUGGGAGGAUGACGGUACCCAAAGAAUAAGCACCGGCUAACUUCGUG
rnacentral:rRNA from 1 species